rnacentral:rRNA from 1 species
UACGUAGGGUCCGAGCGUUGUCCGGAAUUACUGGGCGUAAAGAGCUCGUAGGUGGUUCGGUAAGUCGGAUGUGAAAUCUCCAGGCUCAACCUGGAGGGGUCAUUCGAUACUGCCGUGACUGGAGGUCGGUAGGGGAGUGUGGAAUUCCUGGUGGAGCGGUGAAAUGCGCAGAUAUCAGGAGGAACACCCGUAGCGAAGGCGGCACUCUGGGCCGAUACUGACACUGAGGAGCGAAAGCGUGGGGAGCGAACAGG